CAAUAAUUUUAAAAAUUGCAUGAAUUAUAAAAAUUGAAUCGAAUCGUGAAUUGAUUGUGAAUCGUGCGAUUCACUAGAAAUUCACUUUAAAAAUAAAUUCACUCAAAGAUUUGUACAAAAAUUACGAAUCGUGAAUUGAAUCACGAAUAGUAAAUUCUGAUAAGAGAGUUAAUCGAUUUGAUUUGACCUGGUAUUGGUUUGUUAGGUUUGGACCUAGUUUGGUAUUAUUGAGUUAUUUUGGGUUAUACGGUUUUAAUGGCCAUGAGAAGAGCUGCUGCAAACAGUGGUAGUGAUGAAAAAGCUGGCUCAUUGUAUUCUCUCCAUUAAUAGUGAAAUUCUCCUGUUAUUCUUGUGUGGUUGUUCUGUUAUUAUUUCUGAAUUUCUGUUCCAUCAUAACCAUAUUAAUCUGCCAGGCAAAAAUUUUAAAAUUUUAAUAGUGAAAUUAAUCUAUCCUGGUAAUAGGGUUUGUAUAAAACUGUCAAUUCUUUUAGUAUCCUAUAAAAAUUGGAUUUGAAAUCUUUUUUACUAUUACUUUUUCCCACAACCAAAAAAAACAAAAAAAAAAAAAGAAACAAAGAAAAAGAAAAGAGAGUGAGUUGAUGUUCUCAAUUUUAGAGAAACCAAGCCAGGGUCCUAGGAACUCCUAUAUAUGUACUAGAUUAGACUCACCCCUUUGUUUCUUGUCCUUCAGUUCCUUGGUGAUUGGCCAAGAGAAUGAAAAAAUACUGUAGUUUGAAGCAUUGAUGAUGCUCAAGUUCACCAAAAUGACUUUCUUCAAUAAAAAAGCCAACCACUCCCCAUCCUGUUCCUUCUUUUAAUGCACCAAAAAGCUCACCAUUUCAAAACCCAAAAAAAGUUGUUAUGCUAUUGCUUUCUUAAGACAAGUGACUAACCAAAUAAAUUCCCACCCCCUUAUGCCCCUCCACAUAUAUAUGUAUGUACAUAUCAGUACAGUUGGACUUUCUAGAUUUGUGUUUAGGAAUAUCUGAGAAAUCCAUUUUGGUUUGGUCAUUGAAUGUGUGAGUGCAUUUUGGUCCAGCAUUCCAAAUACCAGGUAGAUAAAAACUUGCUCUAUUUAAUGCUGUCUCUGGAUAUUCUUUGGAAGUGGGGUCUGAACCCACUUGUUAGUGUUCAUGUGCAUAUGGGUAAAUAGAAGAACAUGCAUGGUUUCAUCAUCUUUGCAGCUAUUGAACUUCAUGGAAGCUGCAACAAAAGGUCACAAGCACUCUAAGAGCGAUUCUGCCAUGAAGAAAACUUGGGAAGAUAGAUUGAGUAACAUUCUAGAAGCGUCUCAUCGUCCUAAGUUGAAUAUGGGAGAACUGAAGAGUUGUGUUAAAGCAAAGGCGAGACAGUCUCUGACCACUGAGAUUCAAAAUUCUAUGAAUCCAGAG